AUACGUAGGGAGCGAGCGUUGUCCGGAAUUACUGGGUGUAAAGGGAGCGUAGGCGGGAGUGCAAGUCAGAUGUGAAAUACAUGGGCUCAACCCAUGGGCUGCAUUUGAAACUGCAUUUCUUGAGUGAAGUAGAGGUAAGCGGAAUUCCUGGUGUAGCGGUGAAAUGCGUAGAUAUCAGGAGGAACACCGGUGGCGAAGGCGGCUUACUGGGCUUUUACUGACGCUGAGGCUCGAAAGCGUGGGGAGCAAACAGGAUUAGAUACCCUGGUAGUCCACGCUGUAAACGAUGAUUACUAGGUGUGGGGGGACUGACCCCUUCCGUGCCGCAGUUAACACAAUAAGUAAUCCACCUGGGGAGUACGGCCGCAAGGUUGAAACUCAAAUGAAUUGGCGGGG
rnacentral:rRNA from 1 species